CAGUCGCCGCGGGAAUACGUAGGGUGCGAGCGUUAAUCGGAAUUACUGGGCGUAAAGCGGGCGCAGACGGUUACUUAAGCAGGAUGCGAAAUCCCCGGGCUCAACCUGGGAAUUGCGUUCUGAACUGGGUGGCUAGAGUGUGUCAGAGGGGGGUAGAAUUCCACGUGUAGCAGUGAAAUGCGUAGAGAUGUGGAGGAAUACCGAUGGCGAAGGCAGCCCCCUGGGAUAGCACUGACGUUCAUGCCCGAAAGCGUGGGUAGCAAACAGGAUUAGAUACCCCUGUAGUCCCUGUCUCUUAUAA
rnacentral:rRNA from 1 species